AAAUACAAAAGUUACGAGUAGUACAAAAAUUACUUUAAACCACACCAAAAAAAAAAAGGUUAGUAUUAUAGAGUUUAAUAAUAUCAAUGAAAUUUAAAGAAAAAACUUUUCCACCUUUAUAAAAAAAAAUAUAUUUAAUUUGUAUAUAAUUUUUUACAUUAACUAAUUAUUUUAGAUAUUAGUAAAAGUUUAUUUCACCACAACGAAAAAAGGC
rnacentral:lncRNA from 1 species